UGCUGUGAGAUUUUGGGCACCUCCAAGUAACCAUAAGGCAAUGGGAAUGAGGCGUAUAUAUAGGGUUUGCGGCGCGUGAGGAGCUGAAAAAGAAUGAAGCGCUCACAUCAAUUCACCACAACUCACAUGGGUGAAAAAAGAUUAUUCGGAUAUUCGUUACUAUUAUUUUCUUGGAAUUUGGGAUAUUGGAAAGAGGGAUGGUCCACUGAAGAUGGGAUGAGUGGCUAAAGUGAAUGAGCUGUUGGGCUUACGGGUAGGAUUCGUGGAGCUACAAGAAAGGGCUGGGUGGAUUGGGGAAUUUGGCCCAUUCCCUAUUCUUCACAACGAACCCAAACCUGCCACUUUUGUCAUCUUCUCUAGUAGACCCCACUCAUAAUUUUCCCUUGACUUUGGGUUGUUAUUUGUGUAUAAGUGGAAAAAUUAUGCGAUUUAAGCAAAGACAUAUUAAUUAUUCAAUA